UUUGAACACCGCCUCCCACCCCGCGGGAAGUGCGGGCUUGGUUUGUACCGCGGUGACCCCCGCCCCCUCCGAAGCCGCAGAGCCGGGGCCUCGCGCCAGCAAGGCUGGAGAUGCCUUCUUGGCGGCUGAGUUUAUUUAUUAUAGGAAGUCAUUCGCUCGUGGGGUAUUUAUGUGAUUUGGCGAGUGAUGUGCCCGGCCAGCGCCCUCCUUGGCUGCAGCCCCGCAGGAGGACCCGGAGUAGGGUGGGAUGGAGUGGGUCGUGGGAGGAGCGCGUCAGCGCCUGCCCGGGGACCCCCAGCUCCCGCGAGGACACGGAGGCGCGCACGCCGCUCGGUUUUCCUGGAAAGUGGAGAAGGAGCGUCCUGGGCAGGUCCUCUGAGCUCACCCUCCCUCGGACUGGGGCGGGUCUGUGACGGGGUCACUUAGGACACGACGUCCCCCCCCCAUUCCCUUCCCCCGCCCAGGGCGUUCGCGGUGGGCGCCCACCGCCAAGCCCCACUGUUCCCAAGGAUGCGCCAGGUGCUUCCCGUAGCGUCCUGGGUUGAUUGACCCUUAAAAAAACAGCACCCCUCGGAGGUGGCCGGCCCUCUCCUCCCAGGGUCUCUCCGGGUCACGAUCUUCCAAAGUUCGGAAACUCGCAGGAUCGCGUGUGCAAUCUCCCGCUACCUCCCGGGGGGCCGGGGAGAGGUCAGAGGAGCGAGUCCCGCGUCCACCGGCCUCGCUUGCCCCCUGCCCGUUUGAGGAUAAUUCCAGGGAGCAGGGUGGAGUGUGCGGACAUCAUUGGAGGCAGUGCUGGGGCUUCCCGCGUUGGCGGCGCUCCACCCGGCGUGGGGGGCGGCUGCACGGGCCCCCGCGGUGGGGACGCUGCGCACGGGGCAAGGUCUCCCUAGGAAGCGCCCGGGAAGGAGAUGGGGCCCGCCAGGAACCCCCCUCACUGACCAGCUUUCUGCACGCCGUGCAGGAGGGGGCCACUUCCUCGGAGAGUAUUGGCUUUUAAUUAAAACAAGCCCUACAAUUUUUACAUCGGGCUGCCACACUUGUGUGUCCCUUCUUCCUUGAAUUUAACCAGGAGUGAGCAGUGGACAGCUUCUGCCCUAUGAGAAGGAGGCGAAGCAGGACCUGAAAUCCCGUGCUCAGCUCCCACAUCCCCCGUGUCCAGGACAAGUCCUUUGCUGAAUCAGCGGCAGACACCACCCGGAGCCCUUUGGGAGCCUUUCCCUGUUCUUCCAGCAUGGAUCUGAAACUCCCUUCCCACUUUCUGCAGCCUCCCAGAGAUAGUUCAGGCUCCAGCCUCAUGUGAUAGCAUGAAGAGAAACUGGUUCCAACAGCUGUGUGCUCUGCUGCCCUCAUCCCAAACAACAGUUUAAAUGCACAAUUACACUUUUCUCUAAGGCCCAAAAUAGGAUAGGAAAGAUCGUUUUGCUAUCCCUGAAUGCCUGGCACCCUUGUUUCGUAAGCAGGAAGUCAGUCCCAGAAUAGUUGUUCUGCUCCCUCCCUUCUAAUAAGUACUGCGCUGAGUGUGCUUGCUUUGCCAGAUGGUUAAAAUAGCGCAGGGGAUAGAAGGACAGAUGUCUUCACCCUCAUGGAGUUCACCUUCCAGUAGGAGGAGGCGAUAGGCCGGGGUCUGCACAUGUGCGUGCUACAGCCUGUUCCACAGUGCGUGGCGUGCGGGGCAGUAGAGACGGGAUUUCACCAUGUUGGCUAGGAUGGUCUCGAUCUCCUGACCUUGUGAUCCGCACCCCCCUCAGCCUCCCAAAGUGCUGGGAUUACAGGCGUGAGCCACUGCACCCUGCCAGAAAACUCAUUCUACUCCAUCCUACAGUUUUCCCUAAGAGAGAAACAAUAAAACACCACCACGACCAAUGGCAAAAAGCUGGCACCCACUCCACGACUUUUCAUAUCUACACGUUUGUACAGCUUUAUUUUUAAGCAUUCUGAAAUUCUAUGCAGGAGAGACCCCAGCUAGGUUUAGGGAGUCCUAGGGUUUGUGGAGUAAAUGAAGUUUCUCCCUAGAAUUAGGGAGGGUAGAGACAGGCAGAGAACUGACAAUCCUAACAGCUGCUGUCCUCAGAGCCACUGUUUCUGAGAGCUGCUCGCUGAGUGCUUCUAGCGAGUUAAAUGGUGUUCGCCCAAAAGACGUGUUCGUGUCCUGAUCCUGGGAACCUGUGGCUGUGAUCUUAUUUGGAAAAAGCUCUACAUUACGUCUCUGCAGAAGUAAUCAUGUUAAGGAUCUUGAGAGGACGUGACCCUGAAUUAUCCGGCUGUGCUUGACAUCCAAUGACUGGUGAUGUUGUAAGAGAAAGACAGAGGGAGAUGUAAGAUAUGAGAGAAGGCCACGCCGAGACUGGAGUGAUGUGGCCGUGAGCCAAGGAAUGCCUGGAGCCACCAGAAGCUGGCAAAGGCAGAAGGAGCCUCCUCUGGACCCUGUGGUGGGUGCGCAGCCUGGCAGAUGUAUUCAUUUUGGACUUCUGGCCUCCAGGGCUGUGAGAGAAUACAUUUCUGCAGUUUUAAGCCACCCAAUCUGUGUCCCUGGGAAGCCCAAAUAGGGCGAGACCUUUUGCCAAGUGGUCUCCAAGUGUCACGUCAUCGAAUCCUUCUCCCGGGCUUGUGCCAUAGUCUUUCCACUUUAGAGAGGAGGAAACGGAGGCUCUGGGGCACAAAGCCAGUCAGUGGCGGGGCCUGACUUUCAACCCAGCCUGCAUGGGGUCAGAGAACCCACUUUCCCCGUGGGGCCUGCGGCCUAUGCUAAGGAUGCUUGUUCAUCUCUCCUGGGCCCGGGAGUGGUUCUUCUGGCCUAGAAGGCAAGGGAAGCCAGUCUUUCGGUUUCAAGGUUUCCCAUUAGUGGAGUCAAGCAAAAAUGGUGUGUUGCUCUUCUUCCUGAGCUCAGCCUGGGAGCACGGCCUUAACAUGCUCAGUGGAUCCCAAGACGGCAGCAUGGCGGUGCCAGCCUGGCAGCCUUAGCUCCUUGCAGCUGUGCUUGUGAAGGGAGCAGUGAGUGGCUUCCCUCUGUGACCACCUUGGGUCCUAAGUUUCACUGAGGCUGGGAUCCAUGCGUCUUGCAAUUGGCUAGGAAUUUCCCAGGCUUUCCCUCCCUUCCCUGUGCAGGGCACUGGGUGUGAGGCAUUGCGUCCGUUCUUCUGCCCACCUGCUUCCCCCUAAGAGUGUGAGCUGUAUAAAGGCAGGAACCAAACAGGAGCCUCCACGUGUUCCCAGUUCAAGGGCAGUGUCCCUUGUGUGUUUCUUCAAUAAUUCAGUGGGUGAUUUAUUCUGCACGGACACUGCACACACUCGGCCCUGCCGUCUCCGGAGCUGGGAGGUGUGGAGCUGGCUCCUGACCUAUUUACACACCGAGGAGGGAUGUGGAAAACAGGAGGAGUCCCAGGGCUCCAAUGCAAAGAGGAGCCUCUUCAUUCCCUCUGCCGUGGCCGUGCAAGGGACAGCGCCUUGUGGGAUUGUGUCCUCCACCCAAUUAUCCUUAGCAUUAGUUUGCUAAGGAUAAUGGCCUCCAGCUCCACCCAUGUCCCUGCAAAGGACAUGAUCUCAUUCCUUUCUGUGUCUGCAUAGUAUUCCAUGGUGUAUAUGUACCGCGUUUUCUUUAUCGAGUCUAUCAUUGAUGGGCGCUUCAGUUGAUUCCAUGUCUUUGCUACUGUGACUCGUGCUGCAAUGAGCAUUCGCGUGC
rnacentral:lncRNA from 1 species